GUGUCAGCAGCCGCGGUAAUACAGGGGGUGCAAGCGUUGUCCGGAAUGAUUGGGCGUAAAGCAUUCGUAGGUGGUUCUUAAAGUCAACUGUUAAAUCCCAGAGCUCAACUUUGGUCAAGCAGUUGAGUACUUAGGGACUUGAGUAUGGUAGGGGCAGAGGGAAUUCCUAGUGGAGCGGUGAAAUGCACAGAGAUUAGGAAGAACACCAGUGGCGAAAGCGCUCUGCUGGGCCAUGACUGACACUGAGGGAUGAAAGUUAGGGGAGCGAAAAGGAUUAGAUACCCUUGUAGUCCUAACCGUAAACGAUGGAUACUAAAUGCUGUCAAAAACAGUGUUGAAGCUAACGCGUUAAGUAUCCCGCCUGGGGAGUAUGCUCGCAAGAGUGAA
rnacentral:rRNA from 1 species